AACCCGAAGAUCCUGACCUGAGCAGUCGCCCCUCCCCCAGGAGACUCUAAUGUGCAGGCCAGCUCCACCCGCACUGCUCUGGCGGGCCUGCUUUGGCCUCCUGAGCUGGAAGCAUCGCAGGACCUGGGCCGGUUCAGAAGGCAGCUCUCCUCUCCUGUCCUCUCUGCUGUGCAAACCAGUGAGGCAAGAGCGAGUGCAGCUUCUCCGCCGUGUUCCUCACCCCCAUCUGUCUGUAGGGGGGUUGAUGCAGCAGCAAAAAGGGAGCUGCCCGCACCCCAGUCUCCCCUGCCUGUCAAGCUGACGUCAGACUGGCCAGCUCAACCCUACUAAACUUCUGGAGCAGGAUUCCAAUGUGGGGAGGACUGCCACCCUUCCUGCUUCCAUACCACGGGACACCCUAGCGAAGUCCAGGCAGUGGGAAGCUGCUGAGAUUCCCAGGGGACACACGGCUAUUCUGUGCGUGGCUUCCCAGCAGCUACCAGCUGCCUCUGUGGCAGCUGGCUCACCUGCCCAGCUAUGAGAGUAUUCGAAAGAAGACCCAGCAGCAGCAGGUUCACCAGCUGAUUGCACGGCGCUUCGGGAUCUGGGCCUGCAAAGAGGCGAAUGUUCGGCAUUCCUAACCUUGGGCGCCUUGGACAACUGAGCUUUUGUUCAUAUUACUCUGAUACAUAAUGCCCAGUUAGAGCCCAGGAUGAGGAAGGGGUCACUGGUGGAGAGCCCCAGGCUUUGAGAGGAGGCCCCACCUCACCUCUUCGGGUGGAGGGAAGGAUGGCAGACCCCAGCCCAGGGGGUGUCUGCCCUGGGAUUCAGAACAGGCUCCUGCGGAAGGGAUUCUGUGCAGCCAACAGCUCCACGACUCAGCUUGUCUCCAGGAAGGAACAUCACUAGGGGAGAGGAGACACAGAAAGCUGAAGCCAAAAGAAAGGACGUGUGUACGGGCGGGUGGAAAGGCUGGUGUGUCAGGGAACGGCUAACGCCUUUACUCUCCUAUCCCUCAGCUGUCACCAAGUUGAGGAGGCGAGGCCCUCAGGUCACUGCCUGCACCACGACCGAACUGCGGCUCUGCUCAUCCACCCCAUGAAGCGACACCUGCUCUGCUCAGGGAAACACCACUGUGUAGGAGGAACACCCUCUUCCAUCCUGCCCCUUUCUGCUUUUCCAGAGGACUGGCAGGGACGGUGCUGAGCCUACAGAGACACCUCCAGCCAUCUCCCCCAGCUGGGCCUUGGUACGUGAGCCCCCACAAGAAGGAAGCCAAGGUGAACCUCAACAAACCCUGGGCCACCUCUGCCAAGGAUCUGCAGGAGGUGGAGAAUCUGGGGUCGUGUCCUGAGAAAAUAAGGUGACAAGUUAAAGGCAGACCUUCUUAGGUUGGGAGGCUUCUGUGCCCCGGUCCCUGAAGCUCCUGCCUGCAGGGCUGAGAGUCCUUGGAAGGAAGCCACUGGACCCUACAGGCCCUGCUGGGGCUGCAGCCCAAACUGCCCACCCCCAACAGCCAAGACAGCCCUCUGCCCCAGCUGAGACUUUCUUCCUGGCCUUGCCACUCGAAGCCAAGCGUCUAAGGUCUUGGGCUGGACUGACAGUGAAGGCCCCAGCCCAGUCCAGGCCCAGAUUGAGUUCCUAAAGCCAGAUCCUUUGCUGUUUAUGGUUUGUGAUAGAUCAAGAACCAGAAAAGGAUGUGAGGUGGGUGUGUCUUUCCCCAGGAGAUGGAAAGCAGCCCAUUUGUCACCCAUUCUGCCUCAUCACUGAAAGGACCUGGGUAUUCCAGGGUAGAUGGGGCUUUCUACGCUGGACCCACAGAGUCAGACAGGGGUUGACCAUGUGGCCACUCCUGGGGCUGCAGCCCCAGCUCCCUCCAAAUAUGGCUCCAGGAGAGGACAUGACCAUGUUGCUUCCUUUACGGCCCCUCCCCCACACCCCCACUCCCCCCAGGACCCGGCCUGGGAUGGGUUCCUGGGGGAGAAGGAGCAGUGACACCCUCAAGCACAAGCUCUCCUCCUCCUUCCCCUCGGGGAGAUGGCUCUAAAGCAAUCCCUUCUCAAACACACUCCCCUCUUCUCUUUUCCUCACUCUGGCAGGCCGCUUCUCUGCUUUGAGGGUGCUCCGUGGUGCACACUACAGAACGUGGGUAAGGGCCAAAAAAGCAGCAAGCAGCGCCAUCCAGGUUUAUCCCCACACAGCACAGACUCGUGACUCCAGCACACUUUAUUUCUGGCCCCAGGUCAGGUCUCCCAAGAGCCAGUCACUUCAGAGUCUUCUGCAAUCACCACCAAACAGACGUCCUCAGCAGACCUUGUCGUGCCAACCGUUGACUUCUGCUGCUGCCAUCCUCUCCUGUCACCUGGGCUCCAGUCUCUGUCCGGCGGCCUCGACCAGGAG